rnacentral:rRNA from 1 species
AUUGAACGCUGGCGGCAGGCCUAACACAUGCAAGUCGAGCGGUUGAAGGGAGCUUGCUCCUGGAUUCAGCGGCGGACGGGUGAGUAAUGCCUAGGAAUCUGCCUGGUAGUGGGGGAUAACGUCCGGAAACGGGCGCUAAUACCGCAUACGUCCUGAGGGAGAAAGUGGGGGAUCUUCGGACCUCACGCUAUCAGAUGAGCCUAGGUCGGAUUAGCUAGUUGGUGGGGUAAAGGCCUACCAAGGCGACGAUCCGUAACUGGUCUGAGAGGAUGAUCAGUCACACUGGAACUGAGACACGGUCCAGACUCCUACGGGAGGCAGCAGUGGGGAAUAUUGGACAAUGGGCGAAAGCCUGAUCCAGCCACGCCGCGUGUGUGAAGAAGGUCUUCGGAUUGUAAAGCACUUUAAGUUGGGAGGAAGGGCAGUAAGUUAAUACCUUGCUGUUUUGACGUUACCAACAGAAUAAGCACCGGCUAACUUCGUG